CCCACCCUGCCCCCAAUCCUUCGUCUCCUCCGACCUCCAGAUCCGCCCGGCCGCCGCCCCUCCCCUUCCACCCGAGCGCCUCCCCGUCCCCAUCCGAGCUCCGCCCAGUGCCCAUCUCCGCGCCCUUCCUACCGCAGCAUGCGCAUCCCACUUCUCUGCCCGCAGAUCUGUUGCAGGCUCCUUCAAAUCGACUCCGAUCUACGCCAUCCGAUGUCUGCUCCCCCCUUCUAGAUGGCCUUCCCUGGAUGGCCUGCUCCAACUCCAGUGUCGUCCCUCUCCGUGGGUGCCAUCUCCUCCAAACCGCAAGUCUGCAAGUCAACCAUGCAUUCUUGUAUUUCUCAGAGCAUCUUGGAGGCUGCGGCGCAGCUGGUGCUGCUGCUCCCGUGAUGGGCCUAGUGGAGGCUACAGUUCCUUGAUUUCAAGGAGGAUAGGGAAACAUGAUUGGUUCUUGGAGAGGGCUCGGCAGCAGGAGCCAACACAGGGGAUUAUAGCAAGUGUACUGGGAUUUGUAAUGUGUUGUUCCAACUUCCAGGCUUUUAAAAGACAAUAAAGUUCUAGAUAUUUAUUUACUCUUAUGUUAUCUAAAAAUGCUUUUAAUGUGUAGUUCGUCUAAGGAGUGAUUUAGCGCCAUGAUUCAGCCCUUCCGCGAGCGCUCGGCUUGGAACUGUCCAUUGCCUUAGGCGAAUGUCAUCUCCCAGCUUGUGGCCUUGCCUCCUAGUUUUUGUUACUGUACUAAGCUGCAAAAGCAUUUUUAUUGGUUGUUUUAACUCGUUACAAUACUCCAAAUAGAAGCAACGAUAAUAAGAUCGCUCCUUUCUUGUUUUCUGCAGAAAGUAUCUUCCAUGCUUCUUAAAUCUGGGUACUGUUUUGUACAGACGCUUUUAUCUAUGGAGAAGCACAUCGAUGGAGAAACAAAACAUGCUUGAAGGCAAUGUUUUUCAGAUGAUUGAGACGACCGAGUCAUCAACUGUCCAACAGCUGAAAUGGAGCUUCUAGGCACCUAUUUAGGAUCUCAUUUCCUAGUUGCAGGUAAUCCAUAUCAGUAGUAAUGUUUAAGGUUCAUGAUGCAUCUAUAAGAGAGUUGUAAUACGCUCUGCUCUUAUCAGUUUAUACUAUUAUUUCCACACAUGUGUCCAAAUACAUCCAGUGAUUAAUUUUGAUACAAGUUUUUGAUAUUGCGAGAUCAUGCUAUCUCCAGUAUGCUCAAGAACAUCUGAUAUAUACCUACACAUUUUUAUUUCAGUCUAUUGAACAUUAAAAGCCUUUUACCAGUAGCAAUGCACAAGAAAUGUAGGUUCUAUUAUAACAAUUAACAAGAUAAAGAUAUGUCAAGCGGCUUCUAUCAUGGUACUGGUGACAAGCCUUCCCUGACCCUCAGUAGUUAUCUUUAUGUGACUCAGAAUUGUAAGCAGUACACACCAGUCUAAAGUUCUACACAAAUCCAUAUAAAGGACUUUGGAAGACUGAAAUUUAGAGAUUUAAUUCACUGUUAUAUUGAGUUGUUUGCAUAUUAGGUUGAGCUGUAUCCUGAUUCUCCAUGUUCCUUGCUGAUUGUUCAGCCACAUGUUGAAAAAUAAUGAAUUUUUAUUUGUGUUCUUUCAUUUCAGAACUGUUAUAUUCAGCAGGCGCAUCCUUUUGAGGUUAGGUAUUACUAUUUUCUCAAAAUAACAUUGCUGAUGCAUUUGUUGUCAACUCUUUGUACAAUUUUGCACCUUAUAGUUCCACUCAGUUAUUAUGUGAUAACUUUAGAGGGAUGGAGCCAAGGUUUUGCCAAGUUAGUUUGAGAUACUGUGAUGUCAAAUUGGUUCUUACUGUAUCACAGAGAUAAUGUCCCUAGUUCUUGCAAUCUUACUUUUAACAAUUGACACUUGACAUGAAAUGUACAACUUCAAUGUGUCUAUUAUUUUUUUUAACAGAUCAGUGAGCCAUUUGGUGGAGGCUAAUUUGAAACAGAAGCUUACAGUCCAAGCUGUGACUGAGUGACAUGAGGUCUUGUUUCUGCAUAUAGUUGAAGAACUUAUCUAUUAUUAGAUGUGCACUUCUGUUUUGGUGAAUCUGGAUAGCUGUAUGCUAAUUAUAAAUGGAUUUGUGUAUGAAAUAGAUGUGAUUUAGUAGUACUAUGAUUAAUGUAACGUAUUACUGUAACGUACUAUGAUUUAGUAGUACUUGUGAAAUGGAUCAACUGUGAGAACUAUUUAUAUCAUUUUUAUUUUUUUUGGUCAUCCAAAUCUA